GAUGAACGCUAGCUACAGGCUUAACACAUGCAAGUCGAGGGGCAGCGGGGAUCUAGCUUGCUAGAUUUGCCGGCGACCGGCGCACGGGUGAGUAACACGUAUCCAACCUGGCCCAUACUCGGGUAUAGCCUCUCGAAAGGGAGAUUAAUCCCCGAUGUUGUUGUUUCACCCCAUGGUGUACCAACCAAAGAAUUUCGGUAUGGGAUGGGGGUGCGGUCCAUUGGCUUGUUGGCGGGGUAACGGCCAACCAAGGCGACGAUGGAUAGGGGUUCUGAGAGGAAGGGUCCCCAAGCUGGAACUGAGACGCGGGUCAGACCACUACGGGAGGCAGCAGUGAGGAAGAGUGGUCAAUGGGCGAGAGCCUGAAACAGCCAAGUAGCGUGAAGGAUGACUACCCUAGGGGUCGUAAGCUUCUUUUGUUGGGGAAUAAAGUUCAGAACGUGUGCUGUUUUGUAUGUAGCAUUCGAAUCAGCGUCGGCUAAUUCCGUGCCAGCAGCCGCGGUAACAC
rnacentral:rRNA from 1 species